CACGUAGGGUGCGAGCGUUGUCCGGAAUUAUUGGGCGUAAAGAGCUCGUAGGCGGUCCGUCACGUCGGAUGUGAAAUUCCAGGGCUCAACCCUGGACCUGCAUUCGAUACGGGCGGACUAGAGUUCGGUAGGGGAGACUGGAAUUCCUGGUGUAGCGGUGAAAUGCGCAGAUAUCAGGAGGAACACCGGUGGCGAAGGCGGGUCUCUGGGCCGAUACUGACGCCGAGGAGCGAAAGCGUGGGGAGCGAACAGG
rnacentral:rRNA from 1 species